rnacentral:rRNA from 1 species
UUCGUAGGCGGUGUGGCAAGUCGGGAGUGAAAUCUCUGGGCUUAACCCAGAGGCUGCUUCCGAAACUGCCGUGCUAGAGUGCGGGAGAGGCGAGUGGAAUUGCAGGUGUAGCGGUGAAAUGCGUAGAUAUCUGCAGGAACACCCGUCGGCGAAGGCGGCUCGCUGGACCGCAACUGACGCUGAGGAACGAAAGCUAGGGGAGGCAAACAGGAUUAGAUACCCUGGUAGUCCUAGCCCUAAACCAUCAGGACUUGGGGUGCAUCCCGUUCAGGGUGCGUCCCGGAGCUAACGCGUUAAGUCCUGCGCCUGGGGAGUACGGUCGCAAGGCUGAA